GAUGAACGCUGGCGGCGUGCUUAACACAUGCAAGUCGAGCGAAGCAUUUGCAGUUGAUUUCUUCGGAUUGAUUCUGUUUAUGACUGAGCGGCGACGGGUGAGUAACGCGUGGGGAACCGUGCCUCAUACAGGGGGAUAACAGUUAGAAAUGACUGCUAAUACCGCAUAAGCGCACAGUGCCGCAUGGCGCCGUGUGAAAAACUCCGGUGGUAUGAGAUGGACCCGCGUCUGAUUAGCUGGUUGGUGGGGUAACGGCCCACCAAGGCGACGAUCAGUAGCCGACCUGAGAGGGUGAUCGGCCACAUUGGGACUGAGACACGGCCCAA
rnacentral:rRNA from 1 species